CGGAUCCUACGGGGGGCAGCAGUGGGGAAUAUUGCACAAUGGGGGGAACCCUGAUGCAGCGACGCCGCGUGAAGGAAGAAGUAUUUCGGUAUGUAAACUUCUAUCAGCAGGGAAGAAAAUGACGGUACCUGACUAAGAAGCCCCGGCUAACUACGUGCCAGCAGCCGCGGUAAUACGUAGGGGGCAAGCGUUAUCCGGAUUUACUGGGUGUAAAGGGAGCGUAGACGGCCAGACAAGUCUGAAGUGAAAAUCCAGCGCUUAACGUUGGAAGUGCUUUGGAAACUGCCGGGCUGGAGUGCAGGAGG
rnacentral:rRNA from 1 species